rnacentral:rRNA from 1 species
CCUACGGGAGGCAGCAGUGGGGAAUUUUGGACAAUGGGCGAAAGCCUGAUCCAGCAAUGCCGCGUGUGUGAUGAAGGCCUUCGGGUUGUAAAGCACUUUUGGCGGGAACGAAAAGGACCGUGCCAAUACCAUGGUCUGAUGACGGUACCCGCAGAAUAAGCACCGGCUAACUACGUGCCAGCAGCCGCGGUAAUACGUAGGGUGCAAGCGUUAAUCGGAAUUACUGGGCGUAAAGAGUGCGCAGGCGGUUUUGCAAGACCGAUGUGAAAUCCCCGGGCUUAACCUGGGAACUGCAUUGGUGACUGCAAGGCUAGAGUGUGUCAGAGGGAGGUGGAAUUCCGCAUGUAGCAGUGAAAUGCGUAGAUAUGCGGAGGAACACCGAUGGCGAAGGCAGCCUCCUGGGAUAACACUGACGCUCAUGCACGAAAGCGUGGGGAGCAAACAGGAUUAGAUACCCUGGUAGUCCACGCCCUAAACGAUGUCUACUAGUUGUCGGGGAUUAAUUUCCUUGGUAACGCAGCUAACGCGUGAAGUAGACCGCCUGGGGAGUACGGUCGCAAGAUUAAAACUCAAAGGAAUUGACGGCUGCUGCCUCCCGUAGG